UAAUUUCAUUUCAACUUUCCCUCUCAUCUCGUUCCUCUCUUCCGCGUCUCUAAACCUCCGAAGACUCCUCUCGUUCAAAACCUACUAUCACGUUCCCUCUCGUUCCCUCUCAUCUUUAAUUUCUCGGCACUCCUCCCUCCAAACACUCUGAGAACACUGCUCCGCGCCCAUGCUUUUCUCGGCUCCGAGAACACUCCUCCCUCCGCACGACUGUGGUUGUGGUUUAGGCUAUAGAGAGAAGGAGAGCUAGGUUAGGGGAAGGCGAAGGCCAGAGAACUGAAAGCACUGUUUCUACGGCUGACCAAGUAGUUAUAGAACCUUCGGAGACUGCUUCUGCCUCCGCUGCCUCUUUGUCGAAAUCUCCGAAGUCUGACCAAGCAUCAGUUCUUAAAGAUAGCCUGCCAAUUGGAAAAGAAGCACAUGCUUGGAGCAUUUUCGUUGCUCAAGGUUAUUGAGUCUGAGCUUCAAGCAUACUUGUUUGUAAUUGAGGGAUGGGUGGGUCAUUGCUUGGCCCUGAUCCAAGGUGCCUCUGAUGUUCAACAACAAGGAGGAGUACAUGACAGUGAUAAUUUUUUGCAUGCUAUCAGAGACUUGCUAAAAAUAUAUUCAAGAUUGUCAAACUUCGUCACUACCUCUCAUUUGGAAGGAUCCAACAAAAUUUCUUUGUUUGACAUCACGUCUCAAAAGCUUAAGAUCUAAGAUCUUUAAUGAUUCAUCUCUCAUGAAAGUUGCAGACAUUGAAGACAUUAGAAGAAACUAAGCUUAUUUUAUUUUAAGGGUUAGUAGAAACUUGGCUACAA